CCUANGGGGGGCAGCAGUGGGGAAUAUUGCGCAAUGGCCGAAAGGCUGACGCAGCGACGCCGCGUGUGGGAGGAAGCUCUUCGGGGUGUAAACCACUGUCGGAGGGGAAGAACCCCGUCAACUCGAAUAGGGUUGGCGGCUGACGGUACCCUCAAAGGAAGCGCCGGCUAACUCCGUGCCAGCAGCCGCGGUAAGACGGAGGGCGCAAGCGUUGUUCGGAAUUACUGGGCGUAAAGCGCGAGCAGGUGGUCUGUUAAGUCUUUUGUGAAAACCCGGGGCUCAACUCCGGGAAUGCAGAAGAUACUGGCAGGCUAGAGACCAGUAGAGGCUAGCGGAAUUCCUGGUGUAGCGGUGGAAUGCGUAGAUAUCAGGAAGAACACCUGUGGCGAAGGCGGCUAGCUGGGCUGGAUCUGACACUCAUCCGCGAAAGCGUGGGGAGCAAACAGGAUUAGAUACCCUUNUANUC
rnacentral:rRNA from 1 species